UACGUAGGGUGCGAGCGUUGUCCGGAAUUACUGGGCGUAAAGGGCUCGUAGGCGGCCAACUAAGUCGGACGUGAAAUCCCUCAGCUUAACUGGGGAACUGCGUCCGAUACUGGAUGGCUUGGAUUUGGGAGAGGGAUGCGGAAUCCAGGUGUAGCGGUGGAAUGCGCAGAUAUCAGGAGGAACACCGAUGGCGAAGGCAGCUCGCUGGGACGGUACUGACGCUGAGGCGCGAAAGCGUGGGGAGCAAACAGG
rnacentral:rRNA from 1 species